rnacentral:rRNA from 1 species
UACGGGGGGAGCAAGCGUUGUUCGGAUUUACUGGGCGUAAAGGGCGCGUAGGCGGCCAGCACAAGUCAGUUGUGAAAUCCCCGGGCUUAACCUGGGAAUGGCAUUUGGGACUGCAAGGCUCGAGUGCGGCAGAGGAGACUGGAAUUCCUGGUGUAGCAGUGAAAUGCGUAGAUAUCAGGAGGAACACCGAUGGCGAAGGCAGGUCUCUGGGCUGACACUGACGCUCAUGCACGAAAGCGUGGGGAGCAAACAGG